CAGUCGCCGCGGUAAUACGUAGGGUGCGAGCGUUAAUCGGAAUUACUGGGCGUAAAGCGUGCGCAGGUGGUUGUGUAAGACAGGUGUGAAAUCCCCGGGCUUAACCUGGGAACUGCGCUUGUGACUGCACAGCUAGAGUAUGGCAGAGGGGGGUGGAAUUCCACGUGUAGCAGUGAAAUGCGUAGAGAUGAGGAGGAACACCGAUGGCGAAGGCAGCCCCCUGGGCCAAUACUGACGCUCAUGCACGAAAGCGUGGGGAGCAAACAGGAUUAGAUACCCGUGUAGUCCCUGUCUCUUAUAC
rnacentral:rRNA from 1 species